rnacentral:rRNA from 1 species
ACAGACAGCCAGGAUGUUGGCUUAGAAGCAGCCAUCAUUUAAAGAAAGCGUAAUAGCUCACUGGUCGAGUCGGCCUGCGCGGAAGAUGUAACGGGGCUAAACCAUGCACCGAAGCUGCGGCAGCGACACUUAGGCGUUGUUGGGUAGGGGAGCGUUCUGUAAGCCGUUGAAGGUGUGCUGUGAGGCAUGCUGGAGGUAUCAGAAGUGCGAAUGCUGACAUAAGUAACGAUAAAGCGGGUGAAAAGCCCGCUCGCCGGAAGAC